rnacentral:rRNA from 1 species
CAAUAGCGUAUAUUUAAGUUGCUGCAGUUAAAAAGCUCGUAGUUGGAUUUCGGGUGGGAAUGGCCGGUCCGCCGUUUCGGUGUGCACUUGCUACGCCCACCUUGCUGCCGGGGACGUGCUCUUGAGUUCACGCUCGGGACACGGAGUCGGCGAGGUUACUUGAGUAAAUUAGAGUGUUCAAAGCAGGCCUACGCUCUGAAUACAUUAGCAUGGAAUAACACGAUAGGACUCUGGCCUAUCUUGUUGGUCUGUAGGACCGGAGUAAUGAUUAAGAGGGACAGUCGGGGGCAUUCGUAUUUCAUUGUCAGAGGUGAAAUUCUUGGAUUUAUGAAAGACGAACUACUGCGAAAGCAUUUGCCAAGGAUGUUUUCAUUAA